AGUGAACGCUGGCGGUAGGCCUAACACAUGCAAGUCGAACGGACGCACAGUAAGCGCUUGCUCUUACGGGUGGCGAGUGGCGGACGGGUGAGGCAUACAUAGGAAUCUAAUUUUUCGUGGGGGAUAACGUGGGGCAACUUACGCUACUACCGCAUACGACCUACGGGUGAAAGCAGGGGAUAUACGCACCUUGCGCGAUUGAAUGAGCCGAUGUCGGAUUAGCUAGUUGGCGGGGUAAAGGCCCACCAAGGCGACGAUCCGUAGCUGGUCUGAGAGGAUGAUCAGCCACACUGGAACUGAGACACGGUCCAGACUCCUACGGGAGGCAGCAGUGGGGAAUAUUGGACAAUGGGCGCAAGCCUGAUCCAGCCAUACCGCGUGAGUGAAGAAGGCCUUCGGGUUGUAAAGCCCUUUUGUUGGGAAAGAAAAGCAGCAGGUUAAUACCCCGCUGUUCUGACGGUACCCAAAGAAUAAGCACCGGCUAACUUCGUG
rnacentral:rRNA from 1 species